UCCAUCGAAGACGAACAUACGAAUCGGGAUGAUGAAGCCACGCUUUCGUGACUCUCGCUAUCCUGUCGCUCGAUCAGAUGGUGCAGGACUGUGAGAAAGUAUUCACUAGUGGAGCUGGCGUUGGGUUCAAGUUGCGGUGCCGCCGCGGCCUGGCCCCAUAAGCGCCGGUGGGGGGAACCCGAUGUGGACGCCCGCGGCGACUUCGCCCUCCUCCCCUUCCCACGCGGGACUCCUAGCCUGAGUCCGGCGACCACCACUUUCGCCAUGGCCUCCGCCGGGGAGGUGUUUCUUGACAGGCCUGAAGCCCCAGAGAAAGAGAGAGAAAAUAAGGGAGGCCCCACCCGGAUUGUGAUUACCUAGAUUCCAAUACUUGGGGAUGCAACAUCAAAUCCAAAACCUCUGGUUGCUAGGCAGAUGACUAAAGCAAGCUAUGCUCCUUUUUUUUUCCUCUGUAAUUUCUUGCUUAAUUUUUGGUAAUAUUAUAUAUAUGAUGAUUAGAAACAUGGACAAAGAAGAGGGUUUGGUCUAAUCAUAAUGAGAGUAGUUUAGAUUGUAACUUUGGAGAUUGAUGUUUCUCGCUUUAAUUUAUUUAAGUCUGCGAAUUAUUUGUAUCAUAAGUGGAACUUUAGAUAUUAAAGCUAUAGUGGAUUCAUUGUACUGACAAUCUUGGGAUUACUCAUUGGUUCAAGAGAUCUUAGCACUUAACGCUCAGCUUGACAAGAAGUUUUCUAUGAUGAUUAUAAGGCACUAAUACAUCCUAGGACAUGGUUCAGUGAAUUCCAGAUUAUGUGGUCCAUUUUUUGCUUUUCAUUUUUUUCCCCUUGGGAGGUUUACGCUACUAAGAUGCCAACUAUGUUGGGUUGUGAUAAAAGAUACUUGGCACCCAAGGACCUAUACAUGACAAUCACCUAUGUUAUUCUGUUGUUGUAUAAUUUUUGGGUUAUCAUAUGGUUAAUUAAUCUACAACACUAUUUAACUAUA